UACGAAGGGGGCUAGCGUUGCUCGGAAUCACUGGGCGUAAAGCGCACGUAGGCGGAUCCUUAAGUCGGGGGUGAAAUCCUGGAGCUCAACUCCAGAACUGCCUUCGAUGACUGAGGAUCUCGAGUUCGGGAGAGGGAAGGCGGAAUUCCGGGAUGUAGCGGUGAAAGUGCGUAGAGUAUCCGGAGGAACACCGGUGGCGAAGGCGGCUUCCUGGACCGACACUGACGCUGAGGCGCGAAAGCUAGGGGAGCAA
rnacentral:rRNA from 1 species